rnacentral:rRNA from 1 species
GAUGAACGCUGGCGGCGUGCCUAAUACAUGCAAGUCGAGCGAACAGACGAGGAGCUUGCUCCUCUGACGUUAGCGGCGGACGGGUGAGUAACACGUGGAUAACCUACCUAUAUGACUGGGAUAACUUCGGGAAACCGGAUCUACUACCGGCUAAUAUAUUGAACGGCAUGGUUCAGUAGUUAAAGACGGUUUUGCUGUCACUUAUAGAUGGUUCCGCGCCGCAUUAGCUAGUUGGUAAGGUAACGGCUUACCAAGGCAACGAUGCGUAGCCGACCUGAGAGGGUGAUCGGCCACACUGGAACUGAGACACGGUCCAGACUCCUACGGGAGGCAGCAGUAGGGAAUCUUCCGCAAUGGGCGAAAGCCUGACGGAGCAACGCCGCGUGAGUGAUGAAGGUCUUCGGAUCGUAAAACUCUGUUAUUAGGGAAGAACAAAUGUGUAAGUAACUAUGCACGUCUUGACGGUACCUAAACAGAAAGCCACGGCUAACUACGUG